ensembl:lncRNA
UAGAAUAGAAUAUUUUUUAUUGUCAUUAUACAAUGUAUAACGAGAUUGCAGAGCUUCUCUUUAACAGUGCGAGGAAAUCUUAAAGGUAGUGCAAAAACAGUCUAUUUACAUAUAUACAGUAUAAAUAACGGAGAUAAAUAACGGAGUGAAUAUAAAUAGCAGUGAAUGAGACAGUGGUGUAUAUUGCACAGAUGCACUAUGUUGUUGGCUUUGUGUGAGACAUAUGAGAGUUCAGGGUGGUGAUGGCUCUCAGAAAGAAGCUGUUUUUAAGUCUGUUUGUCCUCGCUUUGAUGCUUCUGUAGUGCCUUCCAGAGGGCAACAGAUCAAAAAGCUGAGAGCCGGGAUGUGAACUGUCCUUGAUGAUGUUCUGAGCUCUGCUGAGGUACCGGGUGGAGUAGAUGUCCAUGAGGGAGGGGAGAGGACAGCCAACAAUCCUCUGUGCUGCUUUGACUGUCUUCUGAAGCCUCGCUCUGUCUGCCUCAGUGCAGCUGCCUGUACCAGGUGGAAACACAGAACGUCAGCAGGUUCUCUAUGGAUGAGCUGUAGAAGGUCAGCAGCAGCUCCUGUACCAGGUGGAAACACAGAACAUCUGCAGGUUCUCUAUGGAUGAGCUGUAGAAGGCCAGCAGCAGCUUCCUGUCCAAGUUGUUUUUUCUGAGGACUCUCAGGAAGUGUAGCCGCUGCUGAGCCUUCUUUAUGACAGUCGUGAUGUUGUCUGUCCAGGAGAGGUCAUCAGAGAUCUGGACUCCCAGGAACCUGAAUGUAUGGACUCUCUCCACACACUCACCAUUGAUGUAGAGGGGGGGCGGGUCAGUUCUGUUCCUCCUGAAGUCCAUGAUGAUCUCCUUUGUCUUUGAGGUGUUUAGUGUCAGGUUGUUUACUGAACACCAGGUUGUGAGUUUCUGGACCUCCUCUCUGUAGGCUGUCUCAUCACCUUUUGAGAUCAGACCGACCACUGUGGUGUCGUCAGCAAAUUUGACCAUGAUGUUGUUUCUGUGGACCGGUCUGCAGUCAUAGAUGUAGAGACAGUACAGGAGGGGGCUCAGCACACAGCCCUGUGGUGUACCGGUGGAGGAAAGGUGGGGACCAAGUCUCACAGACUGGGGUCUGUUGGUUAAAAAGUCCUUAAUCCAGCUGCAUGUGAGAGAGGGG